GAUGAAGAACGUAGCGAAAUGCGAUAAGUAAUGUGAAUUGCAGAAUUCAGUGAAUCAUCGAAUCUUUGAACGCACAUUGUGCCCUCUGGUAUUCCGGGGGGCAUGCCUGUUCGAGCGUCAUUAUAACCACUCAAGCUCUCGCUUGGUAUUGGGGUUCGCGGUUCCGCGGCCCCUAAAAUCAGUGGCGGUGCCUGUCGGCUCUACGCGUAGUAAUACUCCUCGCGAUUGAGUCCGGUAGGUCUACUUGCCAGCAACCCCCAAUUUUUACAGGUUGACCUCGGAUCAGGUAGGGAUACCCGCUGAACUUAAGCAUAUCAAUAAGCGGAGGA
rnacentral:misc_RNA from 1 species